CGCCCAUAUAUGACAGCCGUAGAGCGCCAUUGAAUUAAAUGAGUUUAUGUAAAGUCUACGAAUCUCCUCUCUUGGGCCUCCGAGGUUAGGUAGGAUAUUGUGUAAGACAUUGCAGUAACCUCUUAACCUCGGGGUCAGGUUGUCAACGUGUUUAUUGAAGACCAUCGUUUCGUCGAGGAUUACUCCGAGGACUCUCCAAGUUGCUAGUUCGGCUUUCCCUAUGGCUCGUUGGAUAGAUUUACCUGCGGCUGCGACGAUUGUAUCGUCCGCGUAUCCUGUGAUUUGGAUGGCGUUCGACUGCGGUGCGCGUAGCACGUUAUCAUAUCCUAAGUUCCACAGAGGGGCUGCGAGGGUUGAGCCUUGCGGUACGCCGCAUGUUAUAUUCUUUGCCAGGAUCUUUCCUUCAGCGUCAAUUGCCAAGACUUUUCUAUCUGACAGGAUUCUCUCGAAGAUUUUACUGAUGUCAUCAAUCAGGCAAAUUGGCCUAUAAGCCGCUGGGUCAUCCGGAGAUUUCCCGGGUUUAUUGAGGAGAACCAAUUUGGCUGUCUUCCAGCUCGCCGGGAAUAUCCUUGCCUUGAGACAACUGUUGAAGGUUUCA